ACGAAUGACUAUUUAACCUCGUAACUACCACUUCUUUCCUUUCAGUUUGACUGUUAACACACUUCCCUGUGGCCCUCCGGAAGCUCUCUGCCCACCAUGAACCGUAUCCAGCCAGUUCUUGGAAUUUCUGAAGUUCUGACUGUUCUGUCAGCUGAAUUUAGGAUUGGAGUCUUCUGCUCACCUUGUUGUAAACAAGGCUCGUUCCUAUCAUCUUGAAGGGAAGCCACUGAAAGCUUCGGGACCACAAGAGGGCGUGUUCUGUUUUGCAUUUAACGUAUUUGACCGCUCUCAGUGCCAGUCACAACACCUGAACAGGUUAACUUCAUGUUUGCAUGCAAAUUUAGUGUGCUGGAGAGGUUCCAGGUUCUUCUAUUGAAAACUGAAAUAAUUCCACAGCGCAUACAGCAUCUUUGCCAUUUCUGUCCUCUGCCCGAGUGUGUCAUGCCUGGCCUGGACCGACCACAUCUGAAGAGGAGAUGAGCUGAUGGCACACAGCAGAACAGGAUCCUAGAUGAAACCCAGGCUGUGCUGAAGUCUGUGAGUUGGUGCCAAGCACAGAUUGGACUCUGACCGCAUGUGCGCAGAAGCUGAAUAAGAGCUCAGUGAUCUUCUGAAUGAAAAACACUAGUAAUUUUUCAUCUGGGUAAAAGGUGUCAUCGUGCAGGAGUGAAAGAGUUCAGCAAAAGUUAAUCACGUAAAUGAUGUCUUCCUCAUCUGUCUGGGUAAAACUGAGUAGGUGAACUGGCAUGGAGGGAUUAUGAACUGCUAAUAAUGAACUGAAUGUAUAUCCUGGCUUAGAAACCCUUCUGAAACAGUCACGCUCUGCCAAGUGGGUUUGACAGCCUUGCUCUUGCGCUGAAUUUCUCAAUCUGUGAGCCAUGGCUGACUGGCAAAGUGCUAUGAAAAGCGUCCCCUCCUUCUCUAAGACCCAUGUGAAACGGCAAGAAACGUUCACGUUUAGUUCAAGUGAGGUAGGGGAUUAUAGACAGAGAAGCAACUCAUGUCAAAGCAGUGUAGGACAAAACACCUUGUGCUGCUAACCAGAGCUACCUCAGGGCACUCCAGUGCUAUAGGCAACGUUGAAUUUAGCUGCAUCAAGGAAAAAGAUUUUAAGUCAGGUUGGGCUUAACCUAAAAGGGCCCUGGAC